UAAAAUAAAAAUAUGAAGAUUCUGCUUCUGAUCAUUCUUCCAUUCAUAUCUUGUAUCAUCUUAAUUCUUCAACAUCUGUAAAAACAGUAAAAUAGGAGGUAAUGAGCUAGACAGCCCAGUAAGCAAUGAUCACUUCUCAACAGAUUUCAUCAGGUAUUUAAGUAAAUAAUCAUUUAUAGAAAAAUAAGCAUAUAGAGUUCAUCAAUUCG
rnacentral:lncRNA from 1 species